GGGUGUGAUCAUACCAGCAUUAAUGCACCGAAACCCAUAAGAACUCUGCAAUUAAGCAUGCUUAGGCUAGAGUAGUACUAGGAUGGGUGACCUCCUAGGAAAUCCUAGGGUUGCACCCU
rnacentral:rRNA from 1 species